rnacentral:tRNA from 1 species
GGCGGGAAAAUGUGGUUAGCGAUUGAAAAUCCGCGUGUCGGUGGUUCGAUUCCGCCCCUGGGCACCA